UUUAAGUGAAGAGUUUGAUCCUGGCUCAGAGUGAACGCUGGCGGUAGGCCUAACACAUGCAAGUCGAACGGCAGCACAGGAGAGCUUGCUCUCUGGGUGGCGAGUGGCGGACGGGUGAGGAAUACAUCGGAAUCUAC
rnacentral:rRNA from 1 species